rnacentral:tRNA from 1 species
CAAGGUGUAGCUACAAGACAAAGCGUUCAGCUUACACCUGAAAGAUAUCUGCUACCCACCAGAUCACCUUGA